rnacentral:rRNA from 1 species
AUUGAACGCUGGCGGCAUGCCUUACACAUGCAAGUCGAACGGCAGCACGGGGCAACCUGGUGGCGAGUGGCGAACGGGUGAGUAAUGCAUCGGAACGUACCUUUCAGUGGGGGAUAACGUAGCGAAAGUUACGCUAAUACCGCAUAUUCUGUGAGCAGGAAAGCAGGGGAUCGCAAGACCUUGCGCUGAUUGAGCGGCCGAUGUCAGAUUAGCUAGUUGGUGAGGUAAAGGCUCACCAAGGCGACGAGCUGUAGCGGGUCUGAGAGGAUGAUCCGCCACACUGGAACUGAGACACGGUGCAGACGCCUACUGGAGGCAGCAGUGGGGAAUUUUGGACAAUGGGGGCAACCCUGAUCCAGCCAUGCCGCGUGAGUGAAGAAGGCCUUCGGGUUGUAAAGCUCUUUCGGCCGGGAAGAAAUCGCACGGGCUAAUACCCUGUGUGGAUGACGGUACCGGAAUAAGAAGCACCGGCUAACUACGUGCCAGCAGCCGCAGUAUAC